AAGCUGGCCACCCGAGCCAGCAGUGGCAACCUGCUCAGGUCCACUUCCGCGCUGUGGAAGCUUUGUUCUUUCGCUCUUCACAAUAAAUCUUGCUGCUGCUCACUCUUUGGGUCCGCACUAACUUUAUGAGCUGUAACACUCAUUGCGAAGGUCUGUGGCUUCACUCCUGAAGUCAGCGAGACCACUAACCUACCAGGAGGAACAAACAACUCUGGACGUGCCACCUUUAAGAGCUCUAACACUCACUGCAAAGGUCUGCGGCUUCACUCCUGAAGUCAAGUGAGACCACAAACCCACUGGAAGGAAGAAACUCCAGGCACAUCUGAACAUCUGAAGGAACAAACUCUGGACACACCAUCUUUAAGAACUGUAACAGUCACCACAAGGGUCUGCGGCUUCAUUCUUGAAGUCAGCGAGACCAAGAACCCACCAGAAGGAACUAAUUCAGGACACAUUUUGGUGAGCAUGAAGGAACUAUUGACUAUCGCCAAGCGGAGAAAGAAGAGACAGAUUCAGUGGCCUCAUGCUGUCUUUAUUGGCUCUUGUUUUUUGGAAAGCUGAGUCUCCCCUGUGUCUACAAGUAUUGCUUUUUUGCCUUUUAAAAACUUUAAAUUAUCAUUUUGGACUUACAGUUACCUGGAUUCUGUUUUGUGAAGCUCCAUGAGCUAGAGCUUGAAAAUUCAAUGUAAAUUUCAAGAGAAUAUUCUCAUGCCAGAUGUGUGGGCCACUCAGAGACUUCACAAAUGCCCAGUGCCAUGACCAGAGACAUUGAAACUGAAAACCAGGAUAAGAAGUUGAUGACUUCACUCUGUGGACAGCUCUAUGAGAACAAGACUCCACAUCAUAAUGAGACUCUUAGUCCCUUAAUUCUUUCUGGCUUAUGCCUACCUCUUUCGCUUGGCAAGAUGAUGCUAUAAUUAAAAUUUCACAAUCAAUGGCUUCUGUGAGAAACUUGAUGGAGUGUUGGAUCAUUCAUAUCAAACCCAAAUCUUUUAUGACCUAAGGGAUCCUCCAGUUCACCUGGUGGCUAAUGUUAGCAACAGCUUUAAAGCAACUGCUUCAAAUUAUAUGAAUGAUCUCUUUAUAUAGCAUUAGACUUCUAGACCCACAUGUUCUCACUGCCUGUUUCAAUUUAAUCCAGCCUUGGGAUGCUUGAUAAUAGAUUUGCUACAUACUAGCUGAAUAGAAAGGAGUCUUGCAGUUGCUAAUAUUUCUUGUUGCACGUGGAUGAAUACGUCAAGUACUGUAGUGACUCAGCUGCAAAAAUUAACAAACAAGCUACUUGGUUAAAGCAGGUAGAAUCCUAAUCUGGCUUUUUCUUUAGUCUAUUUAAUUUUAGUUGAUUUGGUUCCUGAGCACUCUGGCUGAGAAGCACACUUCAAACUCUUGGUAUUAUACUCCUUAUAGUCAUAAUACUUUGUAGAAUAGAGGCUGCAUGAUUCAUGAAUUAUGAAUAAAAG
rnacentral:lncRNA from 1 species